UGCUGGGAUUUCAGGUGUGAGCCACUGCACCUGGCCCCUAUGUGCCUCUUACUAAAGGAGAAGAGAAGAGAAAUGCUGGAGAAAUGGAAGUAUUUUUGUGUUGGCAUACAGAACACUAUAUUUCUCAGCUGCCCUUACAGGUAGGCAGGGUCAUGUGACUAAUAUGACUAAUGAAAUGUGAGCAAAAGUAAUGAGUCAUUUGUGGGCCAAAGCAGUGAAAAGCUGUUUGUGAUUCUCAAGUCUCUCUUCUGUUCUGCCAUUGUGAUUGUGGAAGGGGCCUUAUGUUGAAAUGGAGGAGCCAAAAGAUUGAAGUAGCCUGUGUCUUUGAGUCAUCAUAUGGGAGGGCAGAGCAGAUUCCCUGGAGAGCCACCCAGACCCACAACAAAUUUUGUAUGAGCAAAAAAUAAAUCCUUAUUUUACUAAGCAA